rnacentral:rRNA from 1 species
UACGUAGGUGGCAAGCGUUGUCCGGAUUUACUGGGCGUAAAGAGCGCGCAGGCGGUCGAAUAAGUCGAAUGUGAAAGCCCCCGGCUCAACUGGGGAGGGUCAUUCGAUACUGUUCGACUUGAAGGCAGGAGAGAGAAGCAGAAUUCCCGGUGUAGUGGUGAAAUGCGUAGAUAUCGGGAGGAAUACCAGUGGCGAAGGCGGCUUUCUGGGACGGUACUGACGCUGAGACGCGAAAGCGUGGGGAGCGAACAGG